UUACGGCAAUAUCACGUCGAAACGCCAGUUCUCGUACGAUCACCGAAGUUAAGCAACGUUGAGUUGGGUCAAUACUUAGAUGGGUGACCGCUUGAGAAUACCGUGUGCUGUAAG